rnacentral:rRNA from 1 species
GUGAGGAAUAUUGGACAAUGGGCGCAAGCCUGAUCCAGCCAUGCCGCGUGCAGGAAGACGCAUCUAUGGUGUGUAAACUGCUUUUGUACGGGAAGAAACACUCCCUCGUGAGGGAGCUUGACGGUACCGUAAGAAUAAGGAUCGGCUAACUCCGUGCCAGCAGCCGCGGUAAUACGGAGGAUCCAAGCGUUAUCCGGAAUCAUUGGGUUUAAAUGGUCCGUAGGCGGUUUAAUAAGUCAGUGGUGAAAGCCCAUCGCUCAACGAUGGAACGGCCAUUGAUACUGUUAGACUUGAAUUACAAGGAAGUAACUAGAAUAUGUAGUGUAGCGGUGAAAUGCUUAGAUAUUACAUGGAAUACCAAUUGCGAAGGCAGGUUACUACUUGUGGAUUGACGCUGAUGGACGAAAGCGUGGGGAGCGAACAGGAUUAGAUACCCCUGUAGUCC